CUAGGAUUAGAUACCCUAUUAUUGAAAAUGCAAAUUAUUAUGCUUGAGUAGUAGUAGUUAUGUUCUUGAAAUUCAAAAAAUCUGGCGGUAUUUUAGUCUAUUCAGAGGAACCUGUCCUGUAAUUGAUGAUCCACGAUUAAUUCUACUUAUUUUUAGUUUGUAUAUCGUCGUAGUUUGAAUGUUUCUAAAGAAAUUGUAAUAUUCAAGAUUUAUUUUAAAAUUAAAGGAAAUCAGAUCAAGAUACAGCGUAUAAAUAAGAAGAGAUGGGUUACAAUAAAUUUAUUUAAAUGGUUAGAAUAUUUAAAAUUAUUUUAUAAAGUGGAUUUGAUAGUAAUAUAGUUUAUUUAAAUUAUAUGAUUUUAGCUCUAAAAUAUGUACAUAUCGCCCGUCGCUCCUUCUCUAAAGAUGGAUAAGUC
rnacentral:rRNA from 1 species